rnacentral:rRNA from 1 species
AACGUAGGUACCGAGCGUUAUCCGGAUUUAUUGGGCGUAAAGAGCGUGUAGGCGGCCUUACAGGUCAGCUGUGAAAACUCGAGGCUCAACCUCGAGACGUCGGUUGAAACCGUAAGGCUAGAGUCCGGAAGAGGAGAGUGGAAUUCCCGGUGUAGCGGUGAAAUGCGCAGAUAUCGGGAAGAACACCCGUGGCGAAGGCGGCUCUCUGGGACGGUACUGACGCUGAGACGCGAAAGCGUGGGGAGCGAACAGG